rnacentral:lncRNA from 1 species
GGCUUUCCUUUAAUAAUCUGGGAUAGAUUUAGAAGGGAAUAAGAGUGAUUAGUGGCUUCCUUUAGUAGCCCUGGCCUAUGGCCUUAUAUACCCCCUGUAAGCACCCAUGAUGAGGACAAGAAAGUUUUAUCUCAGUCUCCUACCUCUCUCUACUCGGCAACAGGGGGCAUAACCCGUUGACGAAGACCGCCGUUCCUGGGGGCAUAACCCGGUCGGCAACACGGACGGCGGCUACGACCUUCGGAGCCGCGGUCCUCCUACCCUCGGGCCCGACGCCCUUGACAACCUGGUAUCAGGAAGUCGGCGAUCCCCAACCACCACCCCCAGCCCUUCAGCCGCACCACCACCACCAGCCCCCACCUCACCGUCCACCGCUACGUCCAGGUUCAUCACCAUGGGUGACGGCGCUCAACCCUCCAUGGCCGACGUCAUGCAGAUGCUCCAGACCCUGUCCACCAACAUGUCCAAGAUGCAGUCCGACAUGGUGAUCAUGCAGGAGAAGGUCGCCUCCGCGACCGACUACGGUGGCCACCAAGAUGGGCAGCCCCGCACGGAUCACCCGCCGAAGUUCCAGAGGAUGGAGUUCCCGCGCUAUGACGGCAAGUCCGACCCGCUGAUCUUCAUCAACAAGUGCGAGUCGUACUUUCGACAUCAACGCACCAUGCCGGAGGAAAAGGUAUGGAUGGCAUCUUACAACAUGGACGACGUGGCCCAGCUGUGGUUCCUCCAACUCCAGGAGGAUGAGGGCACGCCGCCCUGGGGUCGCUUCAAGGAACUCCUCAACCUCCGGUUCGGACCAGCGCUGAGAUCAGCGCCGCUGUUCGAGCUGACGGAGUGUCGACGCACGGGAUCGGUGGAAGAAUAUUCCAACCGCUUCCAGGCCCUUCUUUCGCGUGCUGGCCGGCUGCAGGAAAGCCAGCGCGUACAACUGUACACAGGGGGGCUGCUGCCGCCGCUGAGCCAUCAGGUCCGCGUUCACGCGCCGGAGUCCCUGGCCGCAGCCAUGAGCCUGGCCAGGAUGCUGGAACUGGUGGAGCUAGACCGGCUCAACCCCCUACUCGGUCGGGCGGCCCCGCGCGCGGCCCUGCCCGCUCUACCUACGCGGCCAGCGCUGCCAGCGGCCGGCGCGCCUCCGGUGCUUCCCGUACCGGUUCCCCCAGCACAGCAGCUGGCCCUCCCGGCGCCUCCUCCACGCGGCGCGGCUGGGGCUGCCAAGCGCCUUACGACGGAGGAGCAGGCGGAACGUCGUCGUCUUGGCUUGUGUUACAACUGUAAUGAGCCGUACUCCCGCGGGCACAAUCGGGUGUGUCGCCGCGUCUUCUACAUUGACGGCUUCGAGCUGGAGGACGCUGCCCAGGAGGCUGACGCCGUCGACACCUCCGCACCAUUGUUCUCCCUUCGCGCUGUGGCUGGUAUGCCCAUUUGUGACUCCAUGCAGGUGCGCGUGCAAGUGGGCGCCGUGACGCUGACCGCCCUUCUGGACACUGGCUCCACGCAUAACUUCAUCGCCGAGGCCGCAGCGUCACGCACGGGGCUUGCUGUCCAGACCAGCCCACGCCUCACGGCCACCGUGGCGAAUGGCGAGCGCAUCGCCUGCCCGGGUGUUUUCCGUCAGGCCCCGAUCACCAUCGCAGGCGAGGACUUUUGCGUCGACCUCUAUGUGAUGCCACUGGCCGGCUACGACGUCGUCCUCGGCACCCAGUGGAUGGUCACGCUAGGCAAGAUGGUGUGGGACUUCACCACGCGCACCGUGGCCUUCACACGCCAUGGCCGCCCCGUCUGCUGGGAGGACGUGGCCGCCCGGCGCACACCGCGCCUCGACAGCAUCACGGCGCCCGAAGCCUUGCUGGAGGAGCUGCUGACCACGUUCGAUGGCCUCUUCGCCGAGCCCUCGGGCCUGCCACCGCCGCGGGCGCGUGACCACAGCAUCGUACUCAAGUCGGGCACACUGCCGGUAGCGGUCCGGCCGUACCGUUACCCGGCGGCCCACAAAGAUGAGUUGGAGCGACAAUGUGCAGCAAUGAUCGCACAAGGCAUCGUGCGUCGCAGCGACUCCGCGUUCUCGUCCCCGGUCCUCCUCGUCAAGAAGCCGGACGGAUCGUGGCGUUUCUGCGUCGACUACCGGGCGCUUAACGCGCUCACGAUCAAGGACGCAUUCCCUAUCCCAGUUGUCGACGAGCUGCUGCACGAGCUCCACGGGGCAUGCUUCUUCACCAAGCUCGACUUGCGCUCCGGGUACCACCAGGUCCGCAUGCGGCCGACUGACGUGCACAAGACGGCGUUCCGCACACAUGACGGCCUCUACGAGUUCCUGGUCAUGGCGUUCGGGCUGUGCAACGCUCCCGCCACGUUCCAGGCCAUGAUGAACGACGUCCUGCGCCCCUUCCUCCGCCGCUUCGUGCUGGUAUUUUUUGACGACAUUUUGAUUUACAGCCGCACAUGGGCGGACCACCUUCGUCACUCACUCACUUGCGUGCUGUCUUCGGCGCGCUUCAGCAGCACCAGCUCUUCGUCAAGCGCUCUAAGUGCGCUUUCGCGGCCUCCUCCGUCGCGUACCUGGGACAUGUCGUCUCGGCGGCCGGAGUCGCCAUGGACCCCGCCAAGGUGCAGGCGGUGCGCGACUGGCAGCAGCCGCGGUCGGCCCGCGCGGUUCGCGGUUUCCUCGGUCUUGCCGGGUACUACCGGAAAUUCGUGCACAACUAUGGCACAAUCGCCGCGCCGCUGACCGCCCUGCUCAAGAAGGACGGGUUCCUGUGGUCGGACGAGACGGCGGCUGCCUUCGCCGCUCUGAAGGAGGCGGUCACGUCGGCCCCGGUACUCGCCAUGCCGGACUUCUCCAAGACGUUCGUCGUCGAAUGCGACGCUUCGUCCCACGGCUUCGGGGCGGUGCUGGUCCAGGACAGCCACCCCGUGGCCUUCUUCAGUCGGCCCGUGGCGCCUCGUCACCGCGCCCUAGCCGCCUAUGAGCGGGAGCUGAUCGGCCUCGUCCAGGCAAUCCGCCAUUGGAGGCCCUACCUUUGGGGGCGCCGAUUCGAAGUCAAGACCGAUCACUACAGCCUCAAGUACUUGUUGGAUCAGAGGCUGUCCACCAUACCACAACACCACUGGGUGGGCAAACUUCUCGGCUUCGACUUCUCCGUCGAGUACAAGCCGGGACAUACCAAUGCCGUCGCGGACGCGCUCUCACGCCGCGACACACCGGAGGAGGGCUUGGUGCUGGCCUUGUCCGGACCACGCUUCGACUUCAUAGAUCGGCUCCGUCAGGCACACACCGUCGACCCCACGCUCGCGGCCCUCCAGCACGACAUCAGCAGCGGCGCCAGGUCACGGCCCUGGGCGCUAACCGACGGCCUCGUCCACUAUGCGGGCCGGCUGUACAUUCCGCCCGCCUCCCCGCUGCUUCAGGAGAUCUUGGUGGCGGUCCACGAGGAAGGCCAUGAGGGCGUACAGCGCACCCUGCACCGACUCCGGCGCGACUUCCAUUUUUCUCACAUGAAACGUGUGGUGCAGGAUCUGAUUCGUGGCUGUGCAGUCUGCCAACGCAACAAGCCCGACCAUCAGCACCCGGUCGGCUUGCUGUUGCCCCUGCCGGUGCCGCAAGGGGUAUGGACGGACAUCGCCAUGGAUUUCGUCGAAGCGCUGCCUCGCGUCCGCGGCAAGACCGUCAUCUUCACGGUGAUAGACCGCUUCAGCAAGUAUGCACAUUUCGUUCCCCUGGCGCACCCGUACACGGCCGAGUCUGUGGCGCAGGCAUUCUUCACCGACAUCGUCCGUCUCCACGGCAUUCCCCAGUCGAUCGUCUCUGACCGGGACUCGAUGUUCACCUCCAACUUCUGGACCGAGCUGAUGCGCUUGAGCGGUACCAAGCUACAGAUGACCACGGCAUUUCAUCCCCAGUCAGACGGCCAGUCCGAAUCGGCGAACAAGGUCAUCAUCAUGUAUCUCAGGUGCUUGACGGGAGAUCGACCCCGCGACUGGUUGCGCUGGCUCCCAUGGGCGGAAUAUAUCUUCAACACCGCUUUCCAGUCGUCCCUGCGCGACACGCCAUUCCGCGUCGUCUAUGGCCGCGACCCUCCCUCACUUCGCUCCUACGAGCAGGGGGCUACGCGGGUGCCUGCGGUGGCCAGGACUUUGGAGGAGCGCAUGGAGUUCCUGGCAGAUAUCCGUCACCGGCUGGAGCAGGCCCAGGCUGUCCAGAAACAUCAUUAUGAUCGUCUACAUCGUGACAUCGACAUACAGGUCGGCGAGUGGGUGCUGCUUCGUCUACGCCAGCGCCCGACGGCCUCCAUGCCCGACUCGUCGGCUGGCAAGCUGAAGCCGCGGUUCUACGGCCCUUACCGCGUCGUCGAGCGCAUCAACGCCGUGGCUGUCCGCCUGGCCCUGCCUCCUCAAGCUCGCCUCCACGACGUCUUCCACGUGGGGCUUCUCAAGAAGUUCCACGGCGCGCCUCCGCAAGAGCCUCCAGCUCUACCUCCGGUUCGCCACGGCGCAGUUAUUCCAGAGCCAGAGCAAGCAGUCAAGAUGCGGCUGCUCAGGGGAGUUCGGCAGGUCCUCAUUCGCUGGCGGGGAGCCUCUCCGGCAUCGGCUACCUGGGAGGAUGUGGACACAUUUCGCGCUUCAUACCCACUAUUUCAGCUCGAGGACGAGCUGCCUCUCGAGGAGGGGAGAGAUGUGAUGUACGGAAAUACGUACACACGUCGGCACAGGGCACGCGACGUGCGGCGCGCGGCUGAGCGCGCAGGACGCCUGAUCCAGCAGGCAGCCAGGCCUAGCGGCUAGAUCUGGAAAGAAUAAAAGUGAUUGAUGGCCUUCCUAUUAGUCCGGGCUAGAUUUAGAAGGAAUAGGAGUGAUUUGUGAUUGAUGGCUUUCCUUUAUUAGUCCGGGCUAGAUUUAGAAGGGAAUAAGAGUGAUUAGUGAUUGAUGGCUUUCCUUUAAUAAUCUGGGAUAGAUUUAGAAGGGAAUAAGAGUGAUUAGUGGCUUCCUUUAGUAGCCCUGGCCUAUGGCCUUAUAUACCCCCUGUAAGCACCCAUGAUGAGGACAAGAAAGUUUUAUCUCAGUCUCCUACCUCUCUCUACUCGGCAACAGGGGGCAUAACCCGUUGACGAAGACCGCCGUUCCUGGGGGCAUAACCCGGUCGGCAACACGGACGGCGGCUACGACCUUCGGAGCCGCGGUCCUCCUACCCUCGGGCCCGACGCCCUUGACACGAGCCGAGCCGGUUUUGUGAACUCGAAAUUUUGUCGAGCCGAGCCGAGCCAGCUCGUGCGAGCUCGCGAGCCGGCCCAACCAGACUACGCAUGUGUUGCGUGCGCGCGGUGCUCCUAUUGGCGUAUGGCUGUGGGCUGCGGCCCAAGUGCCCAACCGCACAACUCCCAAUCCCAAGUGACCAAGCCCAACAGAGAGACGUGCUUCAGCCUAAACCCUAAGCGUCGUUCUAGAGCACCAGGUUGGCAGCUCCAGCCUCAACUCUAGGCACGCCGCCGCCGCGUGCAAGGUUGCCGGCUUGCUGCCGUUCGCCGAGGCGCCAUUUGCCUGUCUGCUCGUCAGCUCCGGCGCUCGUUAGCUCGUGGACCUGGGCGUCUGCAGUCUGCUCUUCGCCAAGGCGCCGGACGCGAAGGACUGCUCGUCUGCUAAUUGUGUGUGUGUGUGAGCAGUAAUGACUAAUGGUGUGUGAGUGUGCAGUUGUAGCAAGCCAGCAAGGAGAAAGCAAACAAGCAGUAAUUGCUAAUGGCGUAUGUGUGUGAGUGGGUUCUGCAAUCUGCAGUGCGGGUGAUCUAGAAAUCUGCAACCUACAUUGUGUUAUUAUGUAGACUAAGCAGCACCCAAGCAGGCUUAAUUGGCUCGCGAGCCGGCUCGAGCAGGCUCGCGAGCCUGUACUGAGCCGAGCCGAACCUCAAUACUGAGCUCGUUAGAAGUCCAAAACAGACCGAGCCGAGCCGGGCUCGGCUCGUUUCUAGCCCUAGUUACGAAAAUAUGUAUGUUGCAUUGGAUUUGUAUUCAUACAAGAAGGGAUCGAGUCUAGAACGAUAGUAUACACGAUAGGCUAGGGAUAGCAUCGAUUGAAGAAAAACUUGACCAACACCGGUUAAGAUGAUUUGGACAUAUACAACACAAAUCUCUAG